UACGGAGGGUGCAAGCGUUAUCCGGAUUCACUGGGCGUAAAGGGUGCGUAGGUGGUGAGGUAAGUUUGAUGUGAAAUCUCCGGGCUCAACCCGGAAAUGGCAUUGAAUACUAUCUUGCUAGAGGAGUGGAGGGGGGACUGGAAUACUUGGUGUAGCAGUGAAAUGCGUAGAUAUCAAGUGGAACACCAGUGGCGAAGGCGAGUCCCUGGACACUUCCUGACACUGAGGCACGAAAGCUAGGGGAGCAAACAGG
rnacentral:rRNA from 1 species